rnacentral:rRNA from 1 species
AUUGAACGCUGGCGGCAGGCCUAACACAUGCAAGUCGAGCGAGGUUUUCGGACCUAGCGGCGGACGGGUGAGUAAUGCGUAGGAAGCUACCCGAUAGGGGGGGAUACCAGUUGGAAACGACUGUUAAUACCGCAUAAUGUCUACGGACCAAAGUGUGGGACCUUCGGGCCACAUGCUAUCGGAUGCGCCUACGUGGGAUUAGCUAGUUGGUGAGGUAAUGGCUCACCAAGGCGACGAUCCCUAGCUGGUUUGAGAGGAUGAUCAGCCACACUGGAACUGAGACACGGUCCAGACUCCUACGGGAGGCAGCAGUGGGGAAUAUUGGACAAUGGGCGCAAGCCUGAUCCAGCCAUGCCGCGUGUGUGAAGAAGGCCUUCGGGUUGUAAAGCACUUUCAGUAGGGAGGAAGCGUUGUGUGUUAAUAGUACACAGCGUUGACGUUACCUACAGAAGAAGCACCGGCUAACUCUGUGCCAGCCGCCGCCGUAAUAC